rnacentral:rRNA from 1 species
UGAAAAGAACUUUGAAAAGAGAGUUAAACAGUACGUGAAAUUGUUGAAAGGGAAACGAUUGAAGUCAGUCAUACCAACGGGAAAUCAACCUUUUGAGCGCGGUUUCGUGGGUUUUGAAGAGUUUCAAAGCCUUCGGAUUCGCGGGAUUGGGAUCUCUUGGCGUACUUUUUCGUACGGUUAGUCAACAUCGGUUUUGAAUGUCAUAAAAUGACUGGA